UAAAACAAUGUCAAAAUGUCUGACGUGCCUGG
rnacentral:piRNA from 1 species